GAAGAAGAAAUACGGCUGAAUAAUGGAUCAACUACACAGGUUACUAUGAUGUUAGCUUUACUACAAGGCUUGGAGACGAGGAAAUUACAUUGAAUAUGAUGAGUUAUGGAUUGCACACAGGUUUGCCUAUCCGGUGUGUUGACAACAAUACGAGUCGAAGCAGAUACGUACCACUACUUAUUUCAUAUGAGCGUUACACUCGUCAGACAACUCCGGACAUUUCAACAGAAGCAUUCAGAGUUCAGAUUGUCGCCCUUUGUAAUCAGACUAUCGGCACAGGAAUCAAGGUGACUUCAGUUUAUCUUCGACAACCCGGAAGUGGUCCCACGUUCAAGCUACGAGUCCAUUGACAGCUACUCGACCGCUGUGUUCAAACACCUGGUGUAACCACAAUCAGGUUUAUCAGAGAGCUGAACUUGUAGUCACAACAAUCUCGAAUUACACAUAAAAUCAUUGUAUUAAAGUCCUGAUAUAUGUGUCUAAUUUCAUAUAUUUAUAUGAAGCUCUUGAACUACAAUGUAUUGCAGUGUUGGCUAAAAUUAGUAAAUAGUACUUAGUAGUUGAAUCGUUGAAAACAUAAAUGAAUGAUUAAACAUUCUGAAAUAUACAUUUAAAUAAAACCUGUUUUUAUAUGAACCUAGAAAGCUUUGUUAAUAGGUGUUCAGUUCUUUCCGUUAACCUUCCAUUGUUCAGACUGUUGAGUGAGGGUAUCUUUAAAUUAAUGAUCAGUUAUUGAUAAUUGUUUUCUUUCGUAAAGAAUUGAGUUGUUAAAUGGCAAGGUUAUUGGUAAGCAUAUUUUUAGGCUCUGUAUUAACAAAAAGUGUAUCGCUAAAUAAUGUAAUCAUCUCAUGUUAUGA